rnacentral:rRNA from 2 species
GCGCAGCCUGAUGCAGCCAUGCCGCGUGUGUGAAGAAGGCCUUCGGGUUGUAAAGCACUUUCAGUCAGGAGGAAAGGUUAGUAGUUAAUACCUGCUAGCUGUGACGUUACUGACAGAAGAAGCACCGGCUAACUCCGUGCCAGCAGCCGCGGUAAUACGGAGGGUGCGAGCGUUAAUCGGAAUUACUGGGCGUAAAGCGUACGCAGGCGGUUUGUUAAGCGAGAUGUGAAAGCCCCGGGCUCAACCUGGGAACUGCAUUUCGAACUGGCAAACUAGAGUGUGAUAGAGGGUGGUAGAAUUUCAGGUGUAGCGGUGAAAUGCGUAGAGAUCUGAAGGAAUACCGAUGGCGAAGGCAGCCACCUGGGUCAACACUGACGCUCAUGUACGAAAGCGUGGGGAGCAAACAGGAUUAGAUACCCUGGUAGUCCACGCCGUAAACGAUGUCUACUAGAAGCUCGGAACCUCGGUUCUGUUUUUCAAAGCUAACGCAUUAAGUAGACCGCCUGGGGAGUACGGCCGCAAGGUUAAAACUCAAAUG